rnacentral:lncRNA from 1 species
GUUAGUCCAAAAUUACAUAGCAUUGAAGAAUAUAUUUCACUGUGCCAUAAAUGACUGAAAGCUUGCUCUGCCAAAAUGAAUCAAAGAACAAGAACUUCAUUUCAGACAGCAGCUGCAGGACACACAGGGAGCAUUCGCACAUGUAGUAGGUCGGGGCCACCCAUGUGAAGGGGCUUCCCACAGUGAGGCCGUAGCGCUGAGCAGUGUCACCUGGGCAUGGCUUGCAGACAAGGGCAGCUAUUCCUUAGACCAGCCUCCGAAGGGAACAGGUGUAUCUGGAGCUUUGUUUCCUGAAGCUAGCCUCGCACACAGAAGGGGGCCUGUUUGUAGUUGAACUGGUAACUGUGGCUAGGUUUAGAGCUGACUUUUUGGCAUGUGCUCUGAACUUGAAUUUUGACACACACCAUUCAGUGUGUAACAUACUUUCUGAGCUCCGAGUGAGUGCUGUGGGAACCCGAGAGCACCUGGAAGUUUUGUUGGAAGCAGAUCAGAGCACACAUAUUAGAAGGUGCGAUUGCUUUUCUCAUGACAAAGGAAAAAAUAAUCACACACAUCACACUGUGGAUAUCACCUUAACCAAUGACAGAACCCUAUUGAGUUUUGUCUUUCUCACAGGGCCAGGUAUUCCAAGUGAACUUGCAAGCGCUGGUGAAAAGUCAGCCUCAACUGCUGCAUGGUUAAAGGUCAAUCAUGCAUUUUCGUCACUGGGUGUGAUGGUGAAAAUAAACAUUAUGAAAUGUCCAUGUUCACUUUUCUACUGGAACUUAAGUUACAACUCGUUUUGAUAAGGGGGAAGAUACGAAAACUAUUGCCUUGCAUGAUGCCAGUGGCUUGCUGUUCUGCCUAGCCGAUUCUAAAUUUUUAUAAAAAUAGACAUCCUGCAUUGCUGAGACAUACUGAGAAGUACCAUGGCAUCUUUCCAUCUCAGGGCUUUCUGUCCCUUUGAGUGUCUUGGGUAGACAUAGUCAUGAGACCCAAUCUUGCUAUUCCCAAACAAAAGCAAAAUUAAUCUCUCAACCAACUCUUGUAAAAGUGAAAUGUUUUGCUUGCAGCUUAAGUGCCAUUAAUGCCAUUUACAAAACAAUACUUAAAAGAAGUACUUACAAUAUUUCAUUUUACUUCUGUUUGGCUGUUCCUUUCUUCUAGAAGCCUUCUUUUCCUUGCUGCAUUAUCUCACACCUGCUAUUCACUAAAAUUGGAACACUCCUGUGAUUGAUUGUUUCAAGGCAAACAAUAACCAACAGGUGGUAAUUAUGUGAUAUUAGAACAUUCAGUGAAGGAAGGUGGGAGACUAUCUAGUCAUAGGUUUUGAGAGGGUGAUUUUAAAUGGAUUUUUAUCAGAAAGGGAAAAAGGAAUAGUAGACCAUUAUCCAUGUGUGUGUCUGAUUUUAUCAUAAUUGACUGGCUGUUACAUUGGUUCAUAGUUAGCUCUUUGGGCCACUUAAGCAUUUGUACCUGGCAAUACCAGGCAGUUGCUGGUUAUGGGCCUCCUACCUUUGGGGUAUUUCAUAGGAUUUGAUAUAACUCACCCACACCAUGAAUUUACCAGACAAUUACAACAUAAAUGGAGACUUCCAGAAACCUUCUAGUGCUUUCUUUCAGGGGAAAAUUAUGCCCACUGCAUCCUUGACCAUUUGUAAUACAAAGAUCUUUCUCUGCUUAUUUCCCCAAAAAUGACAUCUGUCCUUUGCCUGGCCCCAACCUUUGGGCUUGAGUUAGAGACCUGGCAUUGUUUUUGAGAAGGACCCAAAUAAGAAUCACUAUGAUGAGGUCUUUCCUCUCCAGAGUAGCUUGGGUUUACUCCUUCCCUUGGCUCAAGCGAUGGCUCACUGGUGACAUCCAGUGUUCACACAACAGACACUUGGGAAGCGAUGGGUAUGUAGAUGCGGAUGGUGAUUUUUACUAUGGGUAUCAUUCCAGCCUGACCCAAGGGUUUUAAGGAAUUCGUAGGUAACUAGGAUUUUCCUGAUUAAACUUUUGGAUCUCAUAUUUGGGUUUCCACCCUAUAGUACAUUGGUACUUCUUUAUAGUAGUGUGUUAAAAUUGUAGGCCUGACAGCCAGAUCUAGGAAAGAGGCUUUCCUACCAUUUAUCCAGUGCCUUCUGUGGACCAGGCAUUGGAUUAGGCACUUGAUGGAUGUCAGCUGCAUGAAAGGUCACAGCACUGCAGGGGAAGUAUUUGCAAACCUGUUAUGUAGAUGAGGACAAGGAGGCUCAGGAAAGCUGAGUAACUUACCUAAGGGCACACAGCAAGAAGGUGGUAGAGCUGGUAUUCAAAGUAUGACCAAAGUCUGCCUUCAACUUUGCUACAAUGUCUGUGUCAUGCACCCUUGUGAGUGUGUGAGUGCAUGAGUGUGCGUGCACAUGUGUCUUUCAAGCUUCAUGGACACAGUUUACAGAGGAGAGCAGAAGAUAUGGAGGAAUCUGUACCCAGAAGAGUGCAGGAAGUCUGCGUAAACAUAGCCUAAAGGGUUGCCCUGGAAAACACCUGCUGUGCAUGGUCUUGGUUUUGUUUUGGGGAAUGCUGCAUAUGGCACUUUUUCUGUGUAGUUACAAAUGCCCUUUGAGAGCACUCUUUUGCACUUUACUUGCUUACCUGGCAGGAAUUUCACAUUCAGCAGGACUAAAACAGUUCAGAGAGCACUGAGCUGCAUAUUCUACCAAAUGGAACAGGUGCAUGUGUUGGUGUGUGCAUAGACGCUUCCCCAAAGAGUCAAAUUACAGUAAUGCAGAGUCAGAAAUAGCCUUGGGUUGGGAGUGCAGAAAUCUUUGAUACGUCCUCCUGUCCUCCUCCCUGAGCACAGUGGGGACACGCCCUGCUGAAUAAUGUCAAAGAUGACCUUUCGAGGGAGACUGAUCCAUUAAAUAUGUGGGAAAAGUAUUUCAAAAAUUAGAAAGUACUGUCCAAGGGAAAAACCUGAGAAGGAAUAAGAGUUUGGAUUCUUCUUCGUGUGUACAAGCUAAGAUUUGAGGAUUCAGCUGUUUUGGAAACUUGAAUGUUACCUUUUUAAAGAUGGGGCCAAAUAGCGCACAGGACACACAUGAUAACGCAAAGCUGCUACAUGUUCUAUGUGCACUGCUCAGCCCUUCCUCUACAGUCUGCAUUCCCACCUUACCAAAACCUGGAAUAGACAUUUUGAUGUUGCACACAGAAAGAGCACAUGGUCAAUAUCUUCAUUGGGUGGUGUCAUUUGCUUCACCUUGUCGUUGGGUACUGAAUUUUAUUCUCAAAACACAUCUGGAGGUUUGCUGGUGACAGCCAAAGGACGAUUUGGAGAAACUAAUAUAGGUCAUUGCCCAGUCCUAACCCAAUAGUGAUUUCAGCAAUCUGUCAUAUUUUGGGUAGAGCUGUAUAGUGUGUGUGUGUGUGCGCGCACGUGUGUGUACAUGCAUGUGUGAGGUAUCCCUAGCCUAUUACUGAGGUGACUGGGGCUACUGGCUCCUCCAGCCACAGCCCAUGCUCAUGGGCACAUCAAUUCUCUGUACUUCAUGUGCACAUCAAGGAAGUUGAGCACAGAUAGUUGUAAGGGCCUUUUUAGUUCUGCAGUUCCUUGGUGAAACAUUCCCCAGCCCACAGCUACUUAAAUUUAUUAAGAAAGUUAUAAGUUGGAUUUUGGGAUUUGGUUAAGGAUCCCAACCAUUGUAGGGGAGAGCUUGGUUUUUUGUCCUUUGUUUUCUGGGUGAUUGACGGAGACCAGAUGUAUCUGGGAGACUGGUUUCCAAAUUAGGAUCAUGUCUAGUGUAGGCUCUGUUCUCCCUUAGAACUCUUUGGCACACUGUCACCUGGGGGCUCAUGCUAUGUGGGCAUUUUGCAUUUUUUGCAUGGUGUUAAAGCUAGUUAAAGAAUUUUAAGCUGUUGCUAUUUACAGUCAGUUGUACUACAAGUUCCCUUUGAUUACUUCAUGAAUUUGUGUACUUUUCCUCCUGUCUCUCUCUGUCUUUCUUUCUGUCUCUCUGUCUCUGUCUCUCUCUCUCCACAGACAGAGGGAGGAAAUGGCUGUUCUGGGUUCUAUGAGGACCAUUUCACGUUCAAAGUCCUGGUUGUGUUAAGCUUUGGCAAUCGCCCCCUUUCCUCCCUCUCAGAUGAUAUCACUUCCUAGUUAAGUCAGGGCUGCAUAUCUAUUUGUACGCUUGAUUUUAGGGAUUAGUGAGAAUAUGGCCAGGAUUUGAGAGAGGCAAGUUUUGACUCAGUAGACUGCAUAAGAAUGUGAACCAUCCACUGUGUACCAUCGUUUCUGAACCACAGGAAAACAAACAAGCACAGAGGGCCUCUACAGGAAGAACACAAGAACGUGCUGGUAUUAUGUUCCAUAUCUCUGCUUUCUGCAUGCUACUAAUGUUUCAAAUGGGGGUAAUUCUUCCUCACUGUUAAGAUGCCCUUGUGUGCAAAUAGAGUAGCUAAAGGAGUGGAGGAAGCUUGUGGUGAUAGAGUGUAAAAGCUAGUUAGUAAUGGCCUUGAAAGGGAAAAAUGUAACUCUAAAACAAAGCUUACUUUAAUUUGGUAUCCUGGGUGCUGUUAAUUUGACAUAUAGGAACUAAACUAGCACACUGGUCCCAUGGCUCUAAAUAAAGCCCUGCGCUCUGUCCUUGUGUGAUAGCUGCAUUCAACUUCGCCCACCCAUCCAAGUCCCUUGUAAAAGUCGGCCCUCCCAUGGCAGUCUGUAGGUCACAUGACAUCAGCACAGUGGCACCGAGGAGAAAUGAGUGGUGUCUCCAAUUUUACUGAAAAUGGUGCCUGACAUUGGGGAUCUCCUUUGAGUUCUUGUUUCUUAAGUGAAGAAUCAAACAAUUCCCUGGGCAUUAAAACAGAAUUCCUUGAACGGACACCUGCCCCAUCUACCGAGCAGACCCGAGCUGUGGCAGGCAACUGCCCAACCCUUCCUUUGCUGCCAGGGCACCAGGCUCCAAUGUGGAGUUGCAGCGGUGCCUAGAAGUGAUAUGCAAACCACCCCACAUGCCAGCCUCCAGCUCCUUUCCCCUCCCAGAUUCGAAGGCAGUGGACCCCGUGACAACGACGAUGAACCCAUUUGUGGAGGUGUUUUACCUAUUUUUCUCUUUGUAGGACUUCAUGGUGCUUUAAAAAAAAAGGCAUUUUACAGAUAAUAAUGUGUGUGUGGGGAUUUCAUAAUGUUCUUAGGAAAAGUACAAAAGCAAAUUUGCUUGUAACAUUUCAAUAUGCUGUGCUGCUAUUGUCUUUAUUUGAUGAUGUACUUUUUUUCAAUGAUGGAGAAAUUGCAACAAAGACCUUCUGGAAGACCCAA